GAAUUGUUUAGAAUUAAAGAAUUUAUCAACAAAUGAAAACAGCAUAGAACACAUCUGUUGUUUCCUAAUUAAAAUCUCUUAAAAAUUAAUAAAUACCAAAUGUAGAGGUCUAGAUGGAGUUGUGCACUAGCACAAACUCACACACAUACUUAAGUAUAGAGGUGCAGGAGUAGUUUUCUGGGGUGUGUGUGUGUGUGUGUGUGUGUGUGUGUUUAUUCAUUACUGCCUCAGGACUACAACAGAUAAUGGUUAUAUCAGUCAUAUGCAUAGAUGCCUACAUUUUACACACAAGUCUAGUCCUUGAGAUAUUAAAGUAUGGAUAGGGAAUACAAUACACUGUAGCCUUGUUUACAAAGGGACAUUGACCUUUUCCUUGGUGCUUUUGGGGGAGGAGUGAGAGUAAGAAAAGCUAUAAGCUAAUUUCUGUGUCUUGGUCUUGGAACUAAGGCCUGGUGGGAAGUUGGAAUGAUGGAAAGUGUUGCCAGAAACAUCUGAGAGGAAGGAAGUCAAAGAGGCACACAGGAGCCACAGAGAAGAGUGAAAGUCAGAAGUCAGUCCUUGGGAUGAAGGUAUCAAAGAUUUAUUAAAGCUUAUGUGCCUUAAUCCCAGAGGAAAGGAAGAAGAAUGAGCGAACAUUCACUGAAACAGAAGGCAACAUCAUCCAGUGCCUCUGUACUUCCUCUUACACAGUCUUCCAUGCACUCAAAAAUUGCUAAGCAGGCCAGCAAAGCUAUGGAGACAAUAAAUAGAUCAAAUGGUGAUUGCCAGAGGUAUUUUAUGGAGAGC
rnacentral:lncRNA from 1 species